rnacentral:lncRNA from 1 species
GGUCUAUUGAGAAGCAGAGAUGGUCAUAUGCAUGUGCAAAGCAAUUGAUCGAAGGCUGAUAUAUGAUUCUGUGCAGCCAAAACUCUGAGACACUUGACUUUCAUUCUUCCGCCAUGGCUUCAACAAGGAGAAGCCUGUACCUAGAGCAGUAAACCCAUAUGUUUUUUAAAGGCCAGAAAGUAUUAAGGUUGUACAUACGCUUGCAGCUUGCUGCCUCUGAGAUCUACUUCCGGUUCCGGGUUCUGGAUUUAAAACUGUAGAACCGACUCAGGCCAGCCUUAUUGAGGGCUGCAGAGAGAAUCAAGAAGAGUAGUACUUGGUGGAGAGAUGGAUUCAGCCUUGGCAACAGAGGGAUCAAAUGUAUAUGAUAGAAGGUCUGCUUAAAGAAGCUUUCUGGAUAAAAUGGUGAAGCUGUUUAUCUUCGCAUAUAUCCCCUUUGUGCAUUUAUAUACAACUGAUGGAAAGUGUUGAUGAACUUAAAUUAUGCAUGCAGUUGCUCUGUCUAGCUACUCUUUCUUUACCUUAUAGGUUUUUGACUUGGUGCACUAGGUAAAUGAUCGAGAUAAGAUGGUUUUUUGGUUCUCUCGAUCAUAAUGUAACUGUUGGCUAGGUUUAGAGUUGGAACUAUGGAUUGUAUUUUGGAUGAUGUUGAUGCAAUUAAUG